CCAGCUGAGUUUAAGCAUAUCAAUAAGCGAAGUAGAAGAAACUUACAAGGAUUCCCCUUGUAGCGACGAGCGAAUAAGGAACAGCCCAGCCUUAGAAUCGGGCGGCUCUACCGUCCGAAUUGUAGUCUGGAGAAGCGUCCUCAAUGGCGGAUCGGUCCCAAGUCCCCUGGAAGGGGGCGCCAUAGAGGGUGAGAGCCCCGUUGUGCCCGGACCCUGUAGCACCACGAGGCCUGUCUAUGAGUCGGGUUGUUUGGGAAUGCAGCCCUAAUCGGGCACUGAAUUUCGUCCAAGGCUAAAUACGGGUGAGAGACCUGUAGCAAACAAGUACCGCGAGUGAAAGAUGAAAAGGACUUUGAAAAGAGAGUCAAAGAGUGCUUGAAAUUGUCGGGAGGGAAGCGGAUGGGGGCCGGCGAUGCGCCCCAGUCGGAUGUGGAAUGGUGUUGAGCUGGUCCGUCGAUCGACUCGGAGCAUGGACCAGCAUGGAUGGGGGGGGGGCAAUGCUCGGGCCUUUGAUACGCCCGUGGAACGCUGUCUCCUCGAUUGUGGUAGGCAGCGCGCGCCUCUCGCGUGCUUCGACAUCUGCGCGCUCUGGACGCUGGCCUGUGUUCUCCCCAUUCGACCCGUCUUGAAACAUGG
rnacentral:ncRNA from 1 species